rnacentral:piRNA from 1 species
UGCCUUCACUCUUGAUUCCAUAGUUUUCA